GACGAACGCUGGCGGCGUGCCUAAUACAUGCAAGUAGAACGCUGAAGGAGGAGCUUGCUUCUCUGGAUGAGUUGCGAACGGGUGAGUAACGCGUAGGUAACCUGCCUGGUAGCGGGGGAUAACUAUUGGAAACGAUAGCUAAUACCGCAUAAUAGUAGAUGUUGCAUGACAUUUGCUUAAAAGGUGCAAUUGCAUCACUACCAGAUGGACCUGCGUUGUAUUAGCUAGUUGGUGGGGUAACGGCUCACCAAGGCGACGAUACAUAGCCGACCUGAGAGGGUGAUCGGCCAAACUGGGACUGAAACACGGCCCAGACUCCUAAGGGAAGCAGCAGUAAGGAAUCUUCGGGAAUGGACGGAAGUCUGACCGGGCAACGCCGCGUGAGUGAAGAAGGUUUUCGGGUCGUAAAGCUCUGUUGUAAGAGAAGAACGAGUGUGAGAGUGGAAAGUUCACACUGUGACGGUAUCUUACCAGAAAGGGACGGCUAACUACGUG
rnacentral:rRNA from 1 species